rnacentral:rRNA from 1 species
CGGCUCAGUAACACGUGGACAACCUACCCUAUGGAGGGGGAUAACCCCGGGAAACUGGGGAUAAUACCCCAUAGACUAUAGAUGCUGGAAUGCUUUGUAGUUGAAAGGUCCGCCGCCAUAGGAUGGGUCUGCGGCCGAUUAGGUUGUUGUUGGGGUAACGGCCCAACAAGCCUGUAAUCGGUACGGGUUGUGGGAGCAAGAGCCCGGAGAUGGAUUCUGAGACACGAAUCCAGGCCCUACGGGGCGCAGCAGGCGCGAAAACUUUACAAUGCGGGAAACCGUGAUAAGGGAACUCCGAGUGCCCGUAAAAUCGGGCUGUCCAUCUGUUUAAAUAACAGGUGAAGAAAGGGCCGGGCAAGACCGGUGCCAGCCGCCGCGGUAAUACCGGCGGCUCGAGUGGUGGCCACUAUUACUGGGCUUAAAGCGUUCGUAGCUGGUCUGUUAAGUCUCUGGGAAAAUCUACUGGCUUAACCAAUAGGCGUCUCAGGGAUACUGGCAGACUAGGGACCGGGAGAGGUGAGAGGUACUCCAGGGGUAGGAGUGAAAUCCUGUAAUCCUUGGGGGACCACCUGUGGCGAAGGCGUCUCACCAGAACGGCUCCGACAGUGAGGGACGAAAGCUGGGGGAGCAAACCGG